GUGCUAUUGAUCUUGAAGCUUUGAAAAGGAGAUUACUAUCAUUUUCUCUGGAUAAUAUUCUCAAAUAAUUUGUAGAGGUUGUAGAAAACUGAUUUUUCUUUACAUUUGCAGUCCUGAGGAAGCAAAAGUUUCUGAAAAAGCAUCUGCCGCGUUCAACUUGUUAGGUACGUGAAGGUUCCAUGUUCACUUUCUCUUUCUGUAAUGGUGUGUUAGACUCAUGGCUUCUCACUGUCAAUUUUCAUUUGAGCAGAUGAAGAGAAUACCCGGAAGAAAUCAUAUGUAGCCCGUCCUCCGUCACCCAAUGUUGGUCCUGCAUCAAGUCUAGCUAUGCAAACAUUGGGGGUCACACGGCAGGUAAUGCCAAAUGCAUUAAUUGGAAGAACAGUUCCAUAUACUAUCUGUAUCUAUCUCAAAAUAAAUAUAUUAUGCUAUCUGUUCCUUAUAUUACAUGCUAUCUGUCCCGAAACUGCACCAAGUGUGUUAUAUGUCAGGUGCUUAUAGAACAUCUUUAUAUAGCUGUCAAUCCUGUUAUCAGACACAUCAACUUGCCCAUCUUUCACUGAUUAUUUACCUCCUAUAGUACUUAACGAGUGGUUUAGAAGAAACUGAUGUUGAUCCACUUCCUAUACUUCCGUAAGUAAUAGAGGAAGAUUGAUGAUGAUCAUAGCUGUCAUUGCAUAAAUUUUGUGCUAGUAGUAACAAAAUGUAUCAAUUUCAGCUUUCUUUUUAUCUUUCUGUUUACUUCGACUGUUGUCUAUUUGCUUACAUAUCAAGUGAGUGAUCACAUGUUAUUCGUCUAACAUUGGCAAUGCAAUUAACAAAGGGGUCUAACCAAAAUGUCUAUGAUGCUAUAGGCAGCAUGAUCUUGAAUGUUGAGCUCAAAGUUUGUUCAGAAAAUUUUACACCUACAUAAGUAAAUUCUCCUUUGAAGGCUCUAAGCAGUGGUCAGAACUGAUAUUUAUAUAUGUGUUAAAAUUUCUGUUUUUUCUCCAAACAUUUGGUUUGGCUUGUUCCCCUUGUGGGGGAUAUAGAGGGGACCAGGGAUUUUGUUCUUUCUUUCUUUAGCUAUUUAAAUCUGUAAUUUUGUUGGUUCUUCCUCCUUUUCAUUUCCCUCGACAGCAUUGCAUGACAGGUGAACAGAAGGGUUUAGUUUGAUUCAUCGUAGAGGUAUCUGGAUUUUAACCCAGGUUCAUCCUUCCCCUUUUUUUAAAAGCAUCACUUGAAGGGUGGAAAACUAAAACUAGAGAAAGAAUAUACAAAUUAUUUCAUGAAUAUACAUUUAUUCUCACAGUUGUCAUUUUUAUUUACUUCCAGUCUGCGGUUUGCCUUUAUAAUCAAAUAAGUAUUUUUACCAACCAACAAACAAUAUGACCAAUAAUUUAAAAGAUAUGUGUGCUUGUUAUACAAUGUAUUAUUUUCUAGAGGAAGUUAAUGGGCCCAACUUUUUCCACUUCACUAUAACUUUUCUUUAUCUACCUUGAUAUGCGAUAACUGUGGAAUUUCAGAAUAGGAAAUAUAAUUCAGUGGGGAGAGUAUUAGACAACUUAGUGAAUAUAUAGACGUGAGUAUCAUUGUUUAACAUUGCUAUCUGAGGAUCAUAAGAUCAUUGAAAUAUGAGCAUCCAUGUAAUUUAGUCAAAGUUUUGCAAUCUGCCAGUAUACUUGUUAAUCAAUCAGACAACUUAACAAUUAACAAUGUUUCAAUUAGUUAGUUUCAUCUCUCCAAAAAAAACUAAUUCCAAGAGGUAAAGUAUGCACUUUUUGUGGUCUGCCAUUUUGUUUCAUCUCUUUUGAUGUAAAACAUUUGUGAGAGUGUCUGUCUAUAUGCGUAGACAGUUUGCCUCUUCUCUUUUUGUGGUCUAAUUUUAUAUAUAAAUAUCUUGUAUGUUCUGAAAUUUUGGUUUGUAUUGCAUCAUUAAUAUUGAACCUUGUUUGGUCUUAAAGUUUGUUUGAAGUUACGUACUUUGCUUGUGGAGCAUAUAAUAGGACCAAACCGCGAUUGCACGUCUGAAUUGCUUUCUUCUCUCAAAUGAAUUUUCGCCUUUGCAGGGUACCCUGGAGGGUAGCAAACCUCUAACACCAUUCAGAUCAUUUGAUAAUCCAAGGCGGGAUAUUAUCCGUGCACCUAAUCGCAGCAGGAGUAUGCUCUCCGCUUUCUUUGUCAAGCACAAGACAACUAAGUUGAAGACCAGUGCUGUGUCGUAAUCUAGGCUAAAAUGAGAGCAGGAGGUGCAUCCAUCUAACUUUCCAUAUGUAAAAGAGUUGUACUAAGCCAUCACCUGGAGAACAACUAUUUUUAGGAUCAUUCACUAGUAUCGCAAUCAUAGGCUAUUUGUUUGGAUUGAGAAUCAAUAAAGAGCAGUGUGUAUAUUUGUAAGGUAAAAAAGAUGUUAAUAUCUGUCUUCUUGUAGAACAAAUUAUUGGAAAAAUAAUUCUCUAGCUGCAUUGUCCAGUAUUCUUAAGCUGAGUGAUCAAAUCCUCAACCGUUGCAUAUCACUCCCGUUUGGAUGAUCUCGUGGGAAAAAUUCCGAUUAGUUCUUUAAAAAAUCUUUUCCAUAUAAAAAUAACAUAAAAACAUAUUUAUAGAGUAUUUGUUAUUUUCUCGAAAGCUUAUGUAUUUAUUUAAAUAGAUAAAUGAGGAUUUAAAUUUUUCAUCUUCAUUUCUUUGGAACUGAGACGUAAUUAUUUUGUCGCAGUUCUAUCUGAUUAUACAUGUAAUGUAAACAUCACCUAAUAAUAACUAUAGUUAAUUGUUAUAAAAAUGAGAUUGAUUAUGCGAAAACUGAACUUUUUGCAUACCAAGACUAUUUAAACAAACCGAUGGAGGAAAAUAUAGAAUAUAUUUAUAUCAGUGUAUAUAGAACUAAUCUCUUUUAUAUAAUACCUCGAGACAGCAUUGAACUGAAAACUUCUAUCUAUAAAAUCUGAUUGAAGUAUCAAACAAAACAAGAAUUCCAUAAAAUAUUGGGUUAAAUGGCAAAUUAAAAAAAAAAAACAUCUCAACUACUCUAUUUUUUUUGUGAGUUUCAUACUUUAACUAUCGAUUAUUUCUUUUAUAGAUGUGUAUUGUCACUACUUUGGAAAUAGACAACAAGCAUGUGUAGGCAGAUUCAACAUAUUGUAAUAGUUGAUGAUGAACUUCAGGAAAAAAAAAUUAUUCCAUUUAUGUAGAUAAAUAGAAUAAUGAAUAGUUAAAUUAUGAAAUUCAUGAAAAAUAUAAUAGUUUAAGUAGGUUUUUCGCAGUUAACUCUAAAAUAUUUUUUUAAAAUUUUUUCUCUUCCUCCUUUGGCACUCACCGUCACUGGCACACCCUUCUACUCUUGAAAAUAAAAAAGUAUUUUUCAAGGAAAGACACAAAUCUUUUUUUUCAUUUGAGGCUUUGAGCCAGCACCAAGAAAUUAAACUCAACUAGUGUGGGAUCCGGUUCAUAGUGCAAUUUGUUUUCAAACAAUCCCUUCUGAGAUCUGCGUCUGAUCUAUAGAAUUUCGCCAAGUUCCUUCUUUGGAAAUUGAAUAUCACAGUGCUAACUUCCCCUUUUUGCUAGCUCGUAUCUCGCAAUUCAUCAUAUUCUUGGAUUCAGUUUUGCCAAAUCUAGCAACAAUGUCAUCAGCGUCUUUACAUCAAAGACCUCUUCACAAUCCUCUCACAGACCCAAAUCCAUUAUCCCCACCAUCUUCUCAAACUUCCCAAAAAUCCACUUCAUUUCUUCAAAGUCGCACAACCCUUUUGCUCCUUCUUUCUCUUUUGGUAAUUCUCGGAGUUUUCUAUCCAUAUAUUCAGUUUCCUCAAAAUGGGUUUCUGUCCUACACUUCAAAUCCUAGUCCUUUUGAAUCCAAGUGGCGUGACUAUUCCUUGUCUAAAGCUGCAGCCUUUGUGGCCAAGAAUAAUACCCUUAUAGUCUGUAUUGUCAGUGAAGCUUACUUACCCUUCUUGAAUAACUGGUUGAUUAGUAUUGUGAGGCAGAAACAUCAUGACAAAGUGCUUGUCAUUGCUGAGGACUAUGCUACUUUGUUUAAGGUUAAUGAAAGGUGGCCUGGUCAUGCUGUGAUCAUUCCUCCUGUUUUGGAAUCCCAGGCUGCUCAUAAGUUUGGAUCUCAGGUACCUUUUUUUAGGAGAUUUUUGCAUUUGGGUUUUAUUGUGUUUAAAGAACCCCUUAUACACAAAAAUAAUAAUAAAUUACUUGACAGUAUUCGUAAUGAAGGACCGAAUAGAGUACACAUUUUGAGUAGCAGGUAGUUGAUUGAUUUACAUUUGGGUUUGUUGUGUUUAGAGAGCCUCUAAAAGAAUAUAUUGUUUACUACUUUACUUAGAAUUGGAUUAGAAUGGGCUCAAAUUAAGCAGAUUAUAUAGAGGAUGCAUAUUGGCAAACCUCAACUAAUUUGAGUUUGGACAUUGUUGAUUGAUUGAUUUACAGCUGAUUUUGUUGUAUUUCCCACUGUUUUUCCAUUGUUUGUCUGUGAGCGAAUGUGCAAAUAGAUAAUUGGAAUUUGAUUGUAGCAGCUUGGCAUUAUUUAUCAUGUUUAUUUAAGCUUUUCUUAAAAAUAAAUUUAAAAAAUCAUGUAGAGUUACUGCAUAAUGCCUUUUCCCCCUCCAUAUUUUGAUACUUGCAGUUUUGUAGGUAGAAUGUAUUUUAGAGUGACAAGAUUCUUGCAAUUAUCAUUCUUCAUUAUUCAGCUAGUAAUGCCUUAAAAUUGGAGUGCUGAUGAUUGAAGCUUGAGAAUAUCAAUAAUAAUCAUGAAUGCGUUUAUGUUGAUCCUUCACUAUCCGUCUUUAACUAUCCUGAAUUGUAACCUUGUAGUUUGAUUUAGAGAGGAAACCCUUUUGAUUAAAGAGGGAACAAGAGCUUUCUGGGAUGUUGUCCUUGCUUGAGUUAGUUAUUUCAUUUCUGCUGAAAUAACAUUGAUGGUUCAAUUCUUUUAGGGAUUCUUCAAUUUUACGUCCAGAAGGCCUCGGCAUCUUCUGCAAAUUUUGGAGCUUGGUUAUAAUGUCAUGUACAAUGAUGUUGAUAUGGUUUGGUUAGGGGAUCCAUUUCCAUAUUUGGAAGGAAAGCAUGAUAUAUACUUCAUGGAUGACAUGGCUGCGGUGAGUGCUGAAAAGGAUGCAAAUACUUUAACUUUUCCUUGUAUAGUUUCGAUAAGUCCAAUGGUUGGGAAGUUUUUUUUGAGAAAGGUUUUUUUUUUUUUUUUUGAGAAAGAAUUGUUUGAGAAGCUAAAUUAAGAAUGUUAUGGUGCAUGAUUGAAUGUACUGGCUUAAUUUAUUGUGGUGGAAGUUCUUAUCUUGCAUCUUCUUGGUUCACUCUAAAAUUAUCUGAUUUAAGCAUUGUGGCAAACUACUAUUUCCUUUUUCUUUUAAGUUUUAACUUCUACUCUCUUUUUUUACUUGGAAGAUAGGUUAUUCUCUGGUAGUAAAGAUAAUUUUAUUUGGUUCCAUCAAUUUAUAUUUAUUAUCUUGACAUUGUGGAUUGGAUUGUUAGUGAUGAAAAGUCUGCUCUCUUCCUUUCUUUUGGAACACCAGGUAAAACCUCUGAAUCACUCUCAUGGUCUGCCACCUCCAGGGAAGAAGGGCCGGCCUUACAUCUGUAGCUGCAUGAUCUAUGCGCGACCCACCGAUGGAGCAAAACUCAUUAUGAAAAAGUGGAUUGAGGAAAUGCAGAUUCAACCAUGGUCCAGAGCAAAGAAAUCUAAUGACCAGCCUGCUUUCAACUGGGCAUUGAAUAAAACUGUUGAACAGGUGUGUUACUUUCUUUUUAUUUCAUUUUCUACUUCCAUGCCUCAGCACCUGCUGCAAGAAACUUCAUUUGUGUUGGAAUACCUUGUUGCUUUUUCACUUCAUGACUUAUAGGCGUUGGUUCUUCCAUGGGUCAUUGAGUGGUUUCAGUAGGACAUGUUAAAAAUGCCAGGCUUGUUUCAGAUCCAAAAUUAAGCAUGAUCAAAACUUAGAACUUAGCUAGUUUCUCAAUUAGCACUGUUAUUCUUUGAAGCCCAAUGAUUUAGGAAGGUAUAACCAGCCUUUAUGUUUGUAACCUCUCCCUUUCUUCUUUUAUCCCUUGUAUUUACCCCCCAUAUUUUCUUUGUAGCGUGUCCCUGUUGGCUGAAUACUUAUAGGCUGAGUUUUAUGUGAUUGAGGUUGAAGAAGUGAUCUGAAAAUUUGAUGUACGAAAAAUAAUCUGUUCAAUACAGUUGCUUGGAUCUCGUUUUGAAGGAAAAUUAAUUGAUUGUGGAAUUAGGCAGUAUUUCUCAAAUAAAUAAGCUGCUAUUUUCUUUCUGCUAUUUCAUAAUUAUUGCUAUUUUAAUGCUUCAUAAAAACCAAGCAAUUACUAUUUUAAUGAUCUGCACCAAUUUUGCUCAUCUAUCUUUUCCAAAAGGGAAAAGGGCCUGAUAUACCCCUCAACUUUGUCAUUUGGAGCUGAUAUGCCCCUCGUUAUGAAAGUGGCUCAUAUAUACCCUUACCGUUAUACAAACGGCUCACAUGUACCCCUACCGUUACAAAAUUAGCUCACAUAGACCCUUCAUUUAAUGGAAGUGAAAAACUUAGUUUUAAAUUUAUAUUUUUUAUUUUUUAUUUUCUUAAAAAUUAUUUAGGGGUAUAUAUGAUUCUUCUAGCAAAGUUCAAGGUAUAUUUUAAUNNNNNNNNNNNNNNNNNNNNNNNNNNNNNNNNNNNNNNNNNNNNNNNNNNNNNNNNNNNNNNNNNNNNNNNNNNNNNNNNNNNNNNNNNNNNNNNNNNNNNNNNNNNNNNNNNNNNNNNNNNNNNNNNNNNNNNNNNNNNNNNNNNNNNNNNNNNNNNNNNNNNNNNNNNNNNNNNNNNNNNNNNNNNNNNNNNNNNNNNNNNNNNNNNNNNNNNNNNNNNNNNNNNNNNNNNNNNNNNNNNNNNNNNNNNNNNNAAUAAUAAAAAAUUAAACUAAAAUUAAUUUUUUUUCAUUCCCGUUAGAGGAAAAGGGUAUAUGUGAGCCAUUUGUAUAUAAGUAGGGGUAUAUAUGAGCCACUUUCAUAACGAGGGGUAUAUCAGCUCUAAAUGACAAAGUUGAGGGGUAUAUAAGACCCUUUUCCCUUUCCAAAAAGCUCAUUUCUAGUAUUCUUAGGGUCAUACUUGUAAUGUAUAUCCAAAUCGGUAGUUGGUGAUUGCACACAACUCUCAGGAACCUUUUGAGCCUUUGUAUGCUCAUGCCUAUAAUACCCACAAGAGGACUUCAUGUGGUGAGCGGUGAGAAUUAGCGAAGUGCCAAAGCCUUAUGUGCUACUACUUCGAAGAGCAGCUAAAUUAACUUGAAGCUACGAUAGAGGAUGUUUCCUUUCGCCUAGGAGCUGAGAGUCCUUCGACAGCCUUAGAAGUAAAAUAGGAGUGACUCGUUGCUUAUGGAUCAUCAGCAUGCUGGCUAAAAAAGUACAUAAGUGAUCCUAUUUCCAUUUAUCAUGUGAGCUAGUCAUACCAAGAUUAAUGAAAGAUAGAGGAGGAACUAGCUUUAAACUUAUUGGCAGACUGAUGCAACUAAACUACUGGAUCAAAAUGUUGUCCAAUUUGGGUUAUUUAGAUUCUGUUUGGUUAAGAGAAUGAAAUAUGGUUAGCUUAAUUGUGUUUUAGGCCAAACUAGGAAUCACUUAGUUCUCGGUUUUUCAAUUCUGUUAUUUCUGCAGGGCGCUCCAUUUCAGUGAAAAUAUAAGUUAGAUUAUUCAGCUCUCAACGGAAUCAAACGGUAAUUAGAUGCGAUCAAAGCUAAAGUAAUAGUGUGAUACAAUGCAUCACAAAAUAGAUAUACAAAUAAAAGUGGGAUAUCUCAGACUAGAUUAUGAAAGUUGUCAGGCCUCUACCUAUGCGAAGUCCACAUGCAUUUAUCUCAUCCAGUUAUCACAGUCUUGGAACAUAAAUAUGGCUAUUUUUAACCUUCAACGGACGCACUAUCAGAGUCUGGUUUUUUGGGGAAAAAAAGAGCUAAAUAAAGCAAGACAUAGUAUGAUAAUAGCUCUUUCAAUUGUCCAUUUCCUUUUUCUACUUUGUGGGCACGUCAUAUGCAGCAGCUCUUCCAAUUUUUGUUGGGAUGUUCAUUUUAGUUUUCCGCAUUUUUGCAUCCGAUAAUUGUUUCUAUUAUUAUUUAUAUUUCAUUUUUCUUUUGGAUACCAUUUUAGUUACCUUUGAUAAGGAUAGGCAGUUAACUUGUUUGUGUAAUACAAAUGAUUCUGUUGCAGGUCGACAUGUAUCUGCUUCCGCAGUCAGGAUUCCCAACAGGUGGUCUAUACUUUAGAAACAAGACUUGGGUGAAGGAAACCAAGGGAAUGCAUGUUAUUAUUCAUAAUAACUAUAUUGUUGGUUUUGAGAAGAAGACAAAACGUUUCCGUGAUUAUGGUCUCUGGUUGGUGGAUGAUUUUAGUUCUGAAUCCCCGCUUGGCAGAUUAGACUAGAUAGGAAGAUAGUAAAAGAACUCAUGAUAUCCUUUUGGCAAACCAGCAGAGCAGUAAUUCGAACAGCAGCAGGCCAAAUUUCUCUCUUCCUCUAAAGGCUUUGGAAGUUUUAGCAGCUGGUGCACAUGCAUUACCAAUAUCUCAAUCAUUUCAUUGAGUUGAUAUUCUGGGUUGCUAAGCGAAGCACGCCAGAAUGUUCCUUCCUAAAUGCAUAGAUUUUGUAAUUCCAUCUUAGAUUUAUUGAGAACUCUGCUAUUGUUUAUCUAAUGUCUAGUUUGUUCUCAUGUAAAAUGAGUCUGUAUUAGGGACUCCAAAAAUUGCCCUAUUCCUCCCCUUUUUAUACUCCAAUAUUGAUUUGUAUCUAUUCAGUGUACAAGACACGGUAACUUUAUGAAAUACUGAAUGAAAUGUUUUGUAAUAUUUGCUUCAGAGUGCUAUCAUUUCAGUGAUACGUUUUACUGAACCAGUGCAUUACUCAUAUUGGUUUGCAAGCCUAAACAUGGAUUUCUUUUUUCUUCCCUUUCUCCUCGAGCAUUCAUUAUAGUAAGUAACAAGAUUCUAAAGAGUAUUAUUAUAUUCAGCUCAGGUACCAAAAGUCUUUCUUUUUCAAAGUCCGUGCUUAGAUAAAUACAAUCAUAUGCAACGUAAUGAUUUUUCUCUUUGGUAUAUUAACUAAUUUCAUAUAUUUUUUGAAUUAGUUUACCUAAAAUGAAUGAUCAAGAAUAUUUUUCUUUCUUUAGACAUCUAAUUUGUCAUUUGAAGGAGACCUAAAUCUGAAACUUCUUAAAUGAAAUAUUGAUUGAUGUCAAAUGGUACAUAUUAAUUAUUAUGUAUGAGCAAAAGAUUGAAAUAUAUAUAUAAAAAAAAAAAAAAAAACUUGCAAAAAUUAAUUAAAAAUGCGUCUGCCGGGAGUCGAACCCGGGUCUAUUGCUUGGAAGGCAAUUAUCCUAACCGUUGGACUACAAACGCUUGGUUGUUAACAGCUGUCUAUACUUUAACUUAACACAAAUAUUGUACAUUUUCACACAUAAAAUGAAAUAUGUUAUUAUAAAUUAUUUACACUAUAAAUCAUUACGAUAUGCAUUUUUUUAAAUAAAACAAAGGAUUCAUUCAGAUAACUGUAGGUUUUAAUUAAUUCUUUAUUCGAUUGUUAUAGUAGAGUUGUUGCGACUCUACAAAUGUUUAUUGGAGUAAGUUGGAUAAUCUUUUAUCAAAAGACCAACCAAUAAUUUUAAAAUUGUUUCUAGUGGAUAUAGAGAGUCUAUAAGAAAUAACUCUCUAUAUUUAUAAAAUUAAAAUAAAAUCGCAUACAUAUUACUUUUCUAUACUUUUUUUUUGGUAAAUUAGAUUAACUUUAUAUUAACUUUAAACAAAGUGUACAUUAUUUAUUAAAAAUCACGCUUGUUAUUGUUGUUUUAAUGGAUAUAGCCAUAUAGUAAUAUCUAAUAUGUCUCGCAAAAUGCGGUCACUAUUCAAUCAAUGUCCGAUAAUUAAUAUUAGAGAUUUUUUUGUGAUGCACGCAAUUUGUACUACUAGUGUCGGUUCACACGAAGAUUGAUUAUAUAUCAUAUUAUAUAUGAGCUGCCAUAUUCCUCACUGUUCAAAUAUUUUAUUUUAUUUAUCAACCUAGCUACUUGUUCUACUUAAAAUUAUAUGCUUAUUUUAAAAAUUACUCUUUAUUAGAAGUGUUUUUUUGAAUAAUAAUAAUUUAGUGUUUCGUUAAUUAAUUUGAAAAAAAAAUACUUUAAUCAACAUUAAAACAACAAUUUAUGCUAGACUAUCAACUUAUCAUUCAAGAGUUAUUUUCAGGGGAGUUUAUCAAAUACGUCAAUUUUCUAAGUAUUUAAAAAAAAAUACUUUUAGCAUUUCAAAAACUUGAUCAAAUACAUUAUUAUAUUGAUCAUCAUCAAAGAGAAUUAUCUAGAUUAAUUGCUAGAGUCGUAUAUACGUAUUAAUUACUAUUAUUUAAAAUUGUAUACGUCUCCUUGUUAGAUUCUUAGUCAACUAACUCGAUUGGUCAAUUGCUAAUUAAUUUAGGAGUUUGGACAAUAUUCAAUUGAAAUUAACAAAUAAAUUUAAUAUUUAAAGAUGAAAAGGUGUAUUUUGAGUUGAAAUGAGGAGCCCAUUUUUCCUACUGGUCCUUUUUUUUUUACUUGCAAUACAGCCAAGAGAAAAAGAAGGUAAUCAAGCAUAUAUAUAUGGCCACUAGUGACUUUCAAGAUAAUCAUGAUACUCUGAACAAAUGUAAUGUGAAGUUUCUCUUUAUUAUAUAUAUUUUAUGAGUUCACUCUAUUAUCGAUAUGGACUGUGGUGCAGUAGUGGAAUUGAUCCACUCUUAAUUAGAUGUUUUGAGUUCGAGUCCUGGAUAUAAAGAAAAUCUUGUUAGGAGUGUCACCUUCGAAUAUCUUAAGUUCAAGCCCUAGAUAUGAAGAAAAUCUUGUUGGAAGUGUCAUUCUCAAAUGGACCAUAUAGUGCACGACCCAAAUUUAGUCGGAACUCCAAUGCAAAUUUUAGACACAUCCUCAAAUGGAUCAUGUAGUACACGAUCCAAAUUUAAUCAAAGCUCCAAUGCACACUUCAGACACAUAUCCUCAAAUGGACCUUGUAGUACACUAUCCUAAUUUAAUCAAAGCUCUAACGGAGACUCUAAACACAUGCAGAAAAAAAGAAAAGAGGCAAUUCUAUUGAUUAUUAAGCUUGACUUUAUGCAAUUAUGUAAUUUGAUUCCCAAAGGAAAGUAGUAUCCACUUAGAAAAGGUUAUAAAGGGAAUAGAGUUAACAAAAAUGAUAACUUUUGUACUCAAUAAAUAAAAGAGAAAUAUCAACCUCGCAAUAUUUAAAAUAUCUAGUUAAAUUAUUGACAAAAUAGAAAUGAACAACAUCUGAAUUAUAACUAUUUAUUUUUUAUUGUUAUCUGAUAUUUGCCUUGAGACCUGACUAAUUUAAAUUUACAUUUAAAAUUUUCUAUUUUAGAAGCUAAAGAUGACUCCAUACUUAGAACUCAAAUUUCAGUCCUCUAAUUAAGAUCGAUGAAAAAAUAUUCAUCACUUUAAUUAUCACAAUCUUUUGCUCGAUUUAUAAUUUUAUGCUAACAAUUAGUAUGAUAGCUACCCAAAAUAAAAACAAAAAGUUGCAUAUUUUAUUUAUGUAAGUGUAUUCGUACCUAGUCAAGACAAUUUUGAUUUGAUUACUCCAAUCAGAUGUAGAAAGUUUUGUUUUUUUGGUUAAUAAUUUGAAAGAGAAAAUCGAAUUGAUAAAUAUACAUACAAUAUUAUGAUUAUUUUUUCACUUCAAAACUCUUUUAAUUUAACAUCUUGAUUGUACCAACUAAAUGUGCUACUUUAAUUGUAUGCAAAUUAACAGUAAAAUAUUCCAGAUUCUAUUAAUCAUUAAAAAUAGUAUUUUAAAAUUCAUGGUUGAAAUUAUAGCUAAUAUUUGGUAUCAGACCUAACGUCUUCCUUUGUUUACCUUAUCAAGUAAAAAGUUCCAACAAUUUAUUUAUUUUACUCAAUUCAAAUAGUAUGUGAAGUUUAACUACCUUAGUAGUAUUUUUUUCAUUAUUUAUUAGCAUACCAAAUUUCUUGCUUAUUAGUUUAAAAAAUAAAAGCUUUGAGUGUUUUUUUUAGUUUCUCAUUCGAUAUUUGAUAUUCAUAUUGAAGCUUUAGAUCACGUGUCGCAGUAGGCAACAGUUUCAAAUUUUGUUUUGUCAUUCUUAAAAUUUAAAAUCGAGAAAUCUGAUUAAGGAUCAAGGGGAUCACACCAUUCCACCAUAACGAACCAUAUUGAUAACUUGAGUUUAAACACUAUUAGGAUUUAUGAGGGACCUUCAACUUCAAGUACUAUAGUAAAAUUAAGGUAUUUUUAUUCCCCUUAAAAGGUUGGUUUUCCAAUAUUGUCUAUAAAAUGUAAGGGGCAAUUUUUUAAAUGCAUUUCCAACAUUUAAUUAUUUAAUAACACAUAUGGGGUCAACUUUUCACAUUCUAAAGAUUUAAUCUCAUAAACUUCAUUCCAUAUUUACACAAAAAUAAGCUAGCAAAUAUUUUUUUUCAAAAUCAUUAAGAUACGCAGAAUUAAUGUCUUUGUCAUUUUCAUCCCUCAUUGUUUCAUUAUUUUAAGGACUUUACAAAACAAAAAAAAAAGGUAAAAAUAGCAUUUUCUUUAAAAGAGGUAUUUAUAAUUAUCUUCAAGAAUUUCCAUAAUAAUUUAUCUUUUCUUUAAUAGUAGUCACAAUUUUAGUCUACUAUUUCCUAAAAUAAUAUACAUAAAUGUAGCAAGAAAAUAGGUCAUAUCAAUUUCACUUUUUCAAUUUCUCAUCUAUUACAGUCCCUUUGUCCUAAUUUUUUUUUUCUUUUCAGUAAAAUAAUUUUUCUCUAAUUUUAAUUUAAUUUAAUGAAAACUAAUACAAAGGGUCAUUUGAAGCUUCAAUUACCUUCCACUAUUCUAUGUUAUAUAGAUGUAAAAAUCAACUUUAAUUUUAGAAAAAUUACUCAUAAUAAUUUGUUGUGUUGAUCAUACAUAUAUUUUUUUCACGAUAUCCGCUACUAUCUUAUAGCUCGCAAAAUUAUGUAAAAUACGAAAUAAAAUUGUAUAUAACGUUUGACGACAAUGCCACGGCAGCAGAACAGCCACAUGGGUCUAUCUUCUGUUCUGUUCAUCUUCUUUCUUGCAUAAAUAAAUAGCUGUAUUUCUCUUACUUUCCUUAUUCAUAAUUUAAUUUAAUUUAAUAUAUGCAGAUCUUUUUAUAUACUGAAUUAAUGUGAAGCUGCUUCUUUAAAAAGGAAAAAAAAAAAAACUCACAAGCAUCUUCUUGAUUUCUUUAAUGGUAGAAAACAAACAACACUCUGCUAAUUCUUUAUUUUGACAUCACUAGAAAUAUUUUAGUGUUAAAAUAAACAAGAACACUACUAGGUGAAGUGGGUGUAGCUGUGUUCUUUGAUUUUUUUUUUAGUUGUUUUGCUUGUAUGAGUUGGUCUGUAUGUAUAUGUACAGAUUUUUGUGAUUUUUUUUUACGGGAUGUAAAUGGGGUCUCUUGAAAAUGGGGUUUCUUUGAAGAAAGAUCAGAACUUGCUUCGUUCUUCAUCAGCAACUGGGAGGAAUGUAUUUGGUCAAAGACAAGUCAGAUCGAGAUUUGCAAGAUUCUUGUUUGUUAAGAAGAUUAAUUAUUUACAAUGGAUUUGUACUGUGGCUGUGUUCUUCUUCUUUGUUGUUCUCUUCCAGAUGCUCUUGCCUGGUUCUGUGAUGGAAAAAUCUGGGAAUUUAACUCAAGAUAGUGAAGUGGGGUAUGGGGAUUUGGCUUUAUUGAAAGAGUUGGGGGGUUUGGAUUUUGGGGAAGAUAUCAAGUUUGAACCUUUGAAGCUUCUAGCUAAGUUUCAUGAUGAGGCUGUGGAGGCCAAUGGAACUGUUGCUUCAAGGACUGUUGUUAGAUUUGGUUAUAGAAAACCUAAGCUGGCUUUGGUAAGUAUCAGUGUUCCAGGUCAAUUCUCACUUCUGUGAAGUAAAUCUUGAUUAUUGUAUACUUGGUUAAGUAUGUUUUUGUUCCUUUGAAGUAUUUUCUGAUUUAUUCUGCUUGCUGCAUAUAGGUAUUUGCAAAUUUGUUGGUUGAUCCAUAUCAAAUAAUGAUGGUUAACGUUGCAGCUGCAUUACGGGAGAUCGGCUAUGAAAUUGAGGUAACUUUUGUGGUUUUUACUUUUUACUGAAGCCUCAUAAAAAUGGAGGCAAUGCCAACUUCUAUGAAGUUAAACAAGGUUGUGGAUGUUUUGCUCCGAGAUUAGUGGUAGUGAUAAUACAAUUAGGGAUGUUGGAUUCUUUCUUCCUCUAGCUUUAGACUUCUAAGUAAGGAUAUAAUAUUCUUCCUGUACAACUGGUAAUCCAUGGGACAUGUUUCAACUCAGAGUACUAUUGACUACUGUUGUAUUUGUUGAAUCUGGUGAAGAGUACUUCCAGGAAUUUUUUUGUAUCAAAAUUUCUUUUAACUUGCAAAGGAUAAUAACACAGGGAAAUCUUUGGGCCUGGUUUGGGACAUGGUUAUGCAAUCUUAUGGGAAAAGGUUAAAUCUUGUAAUCUAAGGGAAUCGGAAAUGUGACUCAAAAUCAAUUAUCAAAGAAGAAGUGAUUAGAUUUGUUGUAUAUACUUGGAGAGAUGAUCAAGUAUCUGGAGUUGGUAAAAAGGGAUUGAAGAAGACUUCACUAAAACACUUGAGAAAUAAAAAGACUGGCAGAAUUCACUAACAUCAACUUAGCUUAUUGUAUGAAGAUGCCUGAUAAUUGAAUUUCAGCUUUUUGACACUUAGUGGUUUAAGAAUGGGCAGCCUGAAAAUGUUCAACUUAUGUUUGGCACUGUAAAAGAUGCUUCAUGCGAUGCAAUAGGACUGUAUAUGAGUUCCUGUCAAUAAUGUAUGUUCUAAAAAGUUACUGAUUAGUUUCCCUUAAAAAAAUCCAGCACAAAGGAGUGAAUGUUGCUUGGUUUCUACAUCUGCCAUUCCCUGCUAGGUUAUAUUAGUAUCAGUAGCUACAGAAAAAAUCAAAGUUACCCCUUCUUACAAGAGAUUGUCAUUUCUUUGGGAACUUAUGACCUUCCAAAAUUCUGCAGGUACUCUCACUUGAAGAUGGUCCAGUGAGGUCCAUUUGGAAAGAUGUAGGAGUUCCAGUCAUCAUCAUGAACACCGAUGGGCAUACAAAGAUCUCCUUAGAUUGGCUAAAGUAUGUAUCUUUUUACCAUUUUCUAAUUAUUGGAUAACUUUUGAUUAAUGUUGGUGAUUACUGAUGGAAGAAAACUUUUUGUCCGUAGCUCAAGAAUCAUUUUUCUAUUUCUUAUAUAACAUUACGAGGUUUCUUGAAAUUCUCUGACGUAAUUUUGUCUACUUUUCAUUAGGUAUCUAUUUAGAGUGCUUGGCAUGCUGAGUUGUAGUUUCCUGUGCCUUAGAUAUUUAAAAUAUUUCAUCACUGAGAAUCCAUCUAUUACCAAAAAAUAAUAAUUGGAGUGACGCAGUUCUGAUUAUUUUGCAUGCUCUUUGUAGCUAUGAUGGCCUACUUGUGAACUCUCUUGAAGCUGUCAAUGUCUUGUCUUGGUAAGCACUCUUUUCUUUUCUGUCUCAAAUAUCUUUCUUAAGUUUCCUGUUGUUUAGAUACUUUUGUGAUUUUCCUUCUUUCAUUCUUCGCGGAGCAUGCAAAUUGCUGUCGUACCAGAUAGUAUCUUUGUAACUUUUUCAACUCAUGAUUGUUUGAAAUUACCAAAAAUACACACAAGAGUAUAAAACAAUGAAUUUAGGUUAAUUUAUGUUCUGGUUGAUGGAAUUGCUGAUGAUUUCCAAGUUGGGGGUCUUCAGGAGUGAUUUUGUGGGCUGAAGAUCUUCAACUCCCUUUUCUUUUGGUAUAAAAUGACCUAAUCUGGAUUUUGGUUUGUGAGGUGCAUAUCUGGUGUAAUUUUCUAAUUUAUUUUGACAACAAAAAUCUGGAUUUCUACUUAUUAGGACUGGAUUUUCUCAAGCUUUAGGCUAGAUCCUACUAAUUAUACUGUGAUCCUAGACUGUACAACCAUGCAUUUUGGAAAUGGUGUGGGUGUUUAUUAGUAUAUACAAUUAUGUCUUCCUCAUUUUGAUUCACAAAAGAACUAUUAUGUCUUGUUCUGAAGAAUUGAUAGUUUUUUUAUUUCCAUAUGAAGGUUUGAUUUUAGAUUGAUCUUUUGGUCAAUGUAUCUCACAUGUGAUAUAGGCAUAGAGACAGUCUUGUUAGAUAACUUUGUCACUUAAAAUGAUCAUGUUCUAAUAACUAUUGCCAAUUUCUUGCAUAUCUCUUUUUCAAAACAUUUGUAUUUAUGUUGCACUUUCUUAACUAUGGUGAUAAGAAGUCUGACGUGCCUCAUUUUCCUUUCUCUUCACUCUUUUUUCUGGUGCCCUAUUCCAAUGAUAUUUGUGACAGUGUAAUGCAGGAGCCUUUCAAGAAUGUACCUCUGGUAUGGACUAUUAAUGAACUUACACUUGCUUCUCGGUUGAAGCAAUAUAUUUCAAGUGGGCAGAAUGAUUUUGUGGACAACUGGAGAAAAGUCUUCAGUCGUGCCAAUGUUGUGGUCUUCCCAAACUACAUCCUUCCGGUACUGUUCUUUAUCAAAGAUAGAUCUCUCCUUUGUAUUGAUAUGAGUCUAGUUUCGAUGCAUGUCGAAAUACUGAAAAUUCUGGGUGAAACAUGAUUUGCACUCAUUUUAUGUGUUGGAUUUUGUAAUUCAUAUAGAGUUGUCUUGGUCGAGGUCAUCCCACAGACUCGCAUUAUAUUGCCUUCCCAAGAAGGAAGUAACAUGCAUCUAGGAGUAUGGUCUAGUGGUCAAUGAAGUGGGAGGAGAGAACUAUGAAGUCUCGGGUUCAAGUUCAAUGGAAGCAAAAGACACCAAGUGAUUUUGUCCUUUCUGCCUGAGACUUGGUGGGUAGAGUUGUCCAGUUCUUGUGUUGGUGGAUGGUAGAGAGAACACAGGGAAAUAGUCGAGGUGUGGGCAUCAAAAAGAAAAAUAAUACUCCUUCCCUCCCAAUUUAUGUGAAGAUUAAGAGCGAAAGAAAGACCUUUGGAACUUGUGGUCUAAAACAAGGCAUGGUUAUAAAUCAUCUUAUUAAGGAUAAAUAGAAAUUUUAAAGUUAAAUUGUUACUAAGCAUAGAAAGGUCUCUUUCUUUUUGUGACUGAAUAAAAAGAAAAAAGUGUCACAUAAAUUAUGAUGGAGGUAGUUACUAGAUAUCCUUAAAUUUUGCCUAGCUCAAUCAUCUUUUCUAAGUAAAUACAAUUUGUAUGUUCUCGUCAUUAACGGUUAAAAUUAUCCUCCUGAUGAAAUGGGUGAGUUAUUCAUACUCCCUUUUGCAUAUUCUCAUACUUAGUUCUUGUUAGUGAGGAAUCAGUAUUUAUCUGUAUGCUGACUACGAGUUGUACAUUAUUUAGAUAGGUUAUUCAGUGUGCGAUGCUGGAAACUACUUUGUCAUUCCGGGUUCUCCUAAAGAAGCGUGGGAAGUUGAUUCCUUCAUGGCUGUAUCCAAUGAUAAUUUACGAGCCAAGAUGGACUAUGCACCUGAAGAUUUUGUUAUUGUGGUUGUGGGGAGUCAUCUUUUAUAUAAAGGCCUCUGGCUAGAACAAGCCCUUGUUUUACAAGCUUUAUUACCUGUUUUUCCUGAAUUAACGAAUGAUGGCAAUUCAAAUUCCCAUUUCAAGAUUGUUGUACUGACAGAGGGUUCAAAUACCAACUACAGUGUAGCUGUGGAGGUAAAGGAUCUUUUUUUCUUUUUCUUGAGUAAAUUGUGUCCUCUUGGUCUGCAUAAUUUAGCAAUUUGAAUGUCUUUAAAAAAUUUCCCUUUUUUUUUUGGUUCUUCUCCUAUGUACUGUAGUAACUUGGCAGUGUGAUUUCCAUAGGCUAUUGCGCGGAACCUAAGAUAUCCCGAGGGAAUGGUGAAGCACAUUGCUCCUGCCGAAGAUACAGAGAGAACUUUGAGUGUGGCUGACCUUGUUAUAUAUGCAUCUUUCCGUGAGGAGCAAUCUUUUCCAAACACUUUGGUAAAGGCAAUGUACUUAGGGAAACCUAUAGUAGCUCCAGAUCUACCAAUGAUAAAGAAAUAUGUAGGUAUCUUAAUUCAUUAAAUGUUCCGUGGAUAUCAAAUUUUUGCCUAGGUUGACAUGUGCAUCUUUGUCAAUGUGGUUGAGAACAUGUAUUACCACUGUCAAGUUAUUUUUGAGACUUCCUUGAAUCAAUUUUUGAUUUCAUCCAUCAUCAUGACACACUUAGCUCAACUACAAGAAUUCAUUCCGUGCAUGGAGAAGUGUUUGAAGAUGAUCACCUAAACUCCUAAAGAAAUCUUUCCAAUCUGAUAACUUAGUUCCUACAAGGAUGGAACAAAUGAUUUAGCUAUAUAAAUGCUUACACUUGUUCUUUUGGCAGACUGGUAAUGGUUGGUAUUUGAUAUUCUUUAAGAAACUCAUAGCUUUUCUUUGGCCUAGUUUUAACUUUAGUUUCUCUUGUAUCCAUACUCAAAACUUUUAUGUUUAAUUUGUCUUUAUCACACCGAAUGCACAAAUCAUUUGGUCAAACAUAUCUCAUGCACUGAUAGUUAAGAUUGUACUCCUUAUCCUUUGUCAUUUAUCUCACCCAGUGCUUUCCGGGCAACAAUUGACAAUCACUACGUCUUCACUGACUUGAAUGCAUAAUGAUAUGUUUUCGAAUUUUAAAGCAAGAGACUACAUGCUUUACUCUAUUAUCAGGUUUGAUGAUAGGAUGGUUUUUGACUUUUAAAGCUAGACUGAUUAUUUUUUCAUUAUUAUUAGGUCGAUGAUAGGGUGAACGGCUAUCUUUUUCCCAAAGAAAAUGUCAACGUUUUAGCACAGAUCAUGUUGCAAGUAGUAUCAAAUGGUGAACUGUCCCUUUUAGCCCACAAGGCUGCUUCAGUUGGACAAAGUGCUGCAAGGAACCUUAUGGUUUCAGAAAGUGUGGAAGGGUAUGCUCAGUUAUUGGAGAACAUUCUCGGAUUUCCAUCCGAAGUUGCAUAUCCCAAGGCUGUCACUGAAAUUCCUGAAAAACCAAAAGCAGAAUGGCAAUGGCAACUUUUUGAAGCAAUCGAGACAAAAUAUUCUCAGAACAACAGUUUGAAGACCUCAAAAUAUUUGAAUGAGUUUGAAAGGCAAUGGAAUCCGACCCAAAGAGAGGGUUCUGCAGCUGUGGUGGAAAAGAAUGAGGACUUUUUGUACAGCAUUUGGGAGGAUCACAGAAGUACUGAGAUAGCUAAUGUGAGAAAGCGAAGAGAAGACGAGGAGGUAAUUGAUCAUGGCCUUGCUGUUGUUUCCUUUACUUCUUCUGUUUGAUCUCCCUUAAAUGCUUGACUUUGUGAAUGGUUAUUACUUCAACCAACAAAGAAAAAGGAGUUGUUUGGUAACUGGAAAAUUUCGGAAAUUAAUGUGACUCUUUAUUAUUUUGCAUUUUAAAUUCGAUGCAGUUGAAGGGCAGAACUGAUCAACCUCGGGGAACAUGGGAGGAAGUAUAUAGAAGUGCCAAAAGAGCUGAUCGGUCUAGGAACGAUUUGCACGAAAGGGAUGAAGGGGAGCUUGAAAGAACUGGUCAACCAUUGUGCAUUUAUGAGCCUUAUUUUGGAGAAGGGACCUGGCCCUUCUUGCAUAGUACAUCACUUUAUCGUGGCCUUGGACUUGUGAGUAAUAUUGCUUCACAUUUCUCCAUAGCUUGCUUGACAGGUUAUGUAGGAUAAAGUAUUAGUUCUCUCCUUAGUUUUUAUAUAUUAAUGGACCUUAUGCAAAGACCUGAAAUUUUGUGCCACUGAAAAAAUACUGAAUCGAAGAUUAGUAAUAGAUUUUAUAUGUUCAUUAAAAAAUUACAUUUUUGUAAAGCCUGUCACCAGUUUGCCUUAUAUAUCUGGUGGUUUUCUUUUUCCUUCCCUUUUAUCAAUUCUUCUGUGGUAAAUCUUUUCAAAAAUUGAAUUGGCAAUUUUCUAUGUGAGGGUUGUUUCUGUGGCUUAUCAGUUCAUAACUAUAUCUCCAUUGAAAUUCGAUACCAACCUGAGCUAGAGAGGAAGUAUCACUUAAUUUGCAAAAUGACAUGGUAAUAUCCCUGAUUGGUGGAAGUUAGCUAUUAUUUUCAUCUAGAUGUAUUCAGUUAUGAUCUUUUGAUGUGAAUUUGCUGCCAAAUUUUUUGACAGUUGAUUUAUUAUCUCUUUGAAGCUGGUAAGUAAAAAAAAUGUAAUUCAUCAGUCUGAUAUGUAUCUAUCUGAAAUUGGCUUAUUACAGUCCAGCAAAGGGCGACGACCCGGUCAUGAUGAUAUUGAUGCUCCUUCUCGGCUUUCACUUCUAAAUAACCCUUACUAUAGAGACGUUCUUGGUGAAUAUGGAGCUUUUUUCGCUGUUGCUAACAGGAUUGAUAGGAUACACAAAAAUACCUGGAUAGGGUUUCAAUCUUGGAGAGCAACAGCAAGACAGGUAAAUAUUAUUCAUGGAUGUUUCUGCUUUCAUUUUUUAAGGCAACUUGUUCUUUUGUUAGCGCGGUAAAAUUUGAUAGCAUAUCCACAAACACUGAACAGAGUGUAGUGUACGGGCUCUUGUCCUUAAUUUAGCUUAGGCGCGGGUCAAAUGCCUUGUGUUAAGCAUGAUUUCUCUCAACGGGAGUGCUGAUUAAUGUGGGCUUUUUGUCUGGAUACUAAGUCAUCCUUGUCUGUUGUCUCUCUUCCAGGAAAUAAGCAAAUGCUUGCCAUGAAUAACUAUAAAACAUAGCAUUACUUGCAAAUGAACAAAAUACUUUACUACCAGAAAAGUAGCAUGAGUAUGCAUAUACUACCUCAAGUAUUACACUACCCUUGUUGCUCAUGAACAAACAAAUUAAGCUCUAACUGGAUAUCCUCUUUCCUUCGCUCUUUGGGUGGAUAAGUGACUGCCAGGAAUCCUUUGGUGAGCCUAUAUUCUUCCGAUCUCUUUAACUUAAAUUUCAUUUAGAGUGGAUAGAUCUUAAAAUAUACUGAAAAAACAAUUUUAAUGUGUUAGAAAAUAGGAGUUUGGAUCUUGACUCUACCUAACUAUUGUCCAGUGUGACUUGUCAAGUAAAUGAGUGCUAAUUGAUACUCAAAUUUACUGCUCCAGCUGAAGCCUGUCAGAUUUUAAUGGCCAGAGGUUCUUCACUUCUGCCUUGAACAAAACAAGGAGUAAUUUGCUGAAUUGUUUUUGUAGAUCUUUUUAGUCGUUUGGUCUUGCUUGGCAAUUGAAUUUAAGUCAUUAAUGUAUUAAAUGCAAAUGCAUUACUGUACCUAUCGGAUUUUAUUUUGAUUUACAAUUUACACUAACAUUAUUACUUAAACAGCAAUCAUUGUCCAAGACUGCUGAAAAGUCACUACUUGAAGCUAUUGAAGCGCGAAGGCAUGGUGACACACUCUAUUUUUGGGCUCGUAUGGAUGUGGAUCCAAGGAACCCACUCAAACAAGAUUUCUGGUCAUUUUGUGAUGCUCUUAAUGCUGGAAAUUGCCAGUAAGACUCUCUACAUUAUUUAAUUUAUUUUCCCAUAUUGCAACACCCUGCUUCAAAAACAAAAUUUUAUUUGAUACUGUUAAUGAUGUUUUACCUAAUGUUUUUCAUGUCAUUUAUUGAAGGUUUGCUUUCUCUGAGGCCCUCCAAAAAAUGUAUGGGUUAAAGCAGAAUUUGAGCUCUCUUCCUCCCAUGCCUGUGGAUGGCACAUGGUCUGUCAUGCACAGUUGGGUUUUGCCUACCAAGUCCUUUGUAGAAUUUGUAAUGUUUUCAAGGUUUGAACACUUUUUGUCUCUGCAAGUCAUAGUUGAAUCCUGAGAUUGGACCCCUGAAUUGUUUUUUCUCAUUGAACGAUCUCUUAAAGAUGCCAUCUUCCUUUGCAGGAUGUUUGUUGAUGCACUCGACUCUCAAUUUUACGAAGAUCACCAUCGAAGUGGCCGUUGUUAUCUUAGUUUGACCAAGGUACUGAUGCUAAUUUUGGAGGCACACAACAUUAAAAUGUGAACAAAAUGCACUUUUUGAUGUUUACUUCAUGCAUCCACACAUGGUAAAGAAUUUACUUACUAAGCUCAUGCUUCUGAGACCUGAUUGUUAAACAACUAGCAGAAAGUGCUAAAGGAGGAGCCAUAUGUCUAAUAACUAGAGAAGUAUUGAAAUUGAACUCUAAAAAGAAUAUCUUGAAAUUCAUGUCUUACUGACAUUAGGAGGAAUUAUCCCUUGUGGUACACAUUCCCCCUACGUUAUGGACUUAGCUUGUAACCCCAUCAAAUGUUUCUGACAUGUUUUCAGGACAAACAUUGUUAUUCAAGAGUCAUUGAGAUGCUUGUAAAUGUUUGGGCAUACCAUAGUGCAAGAAGAAUGAUGUAUGUGGACCCACAGACAGGCUUGAUGGAGGAACAACAUAAACUAAAAAGCCGUAAAGGCAAAAUGUGGGUGAAAUGGUUCCAAUUUAACACUCUUAAGAGCAUGGACGAGGAACUGGCUGAGGAGGCAGAUUCUGACCGUCCAAAAAGGAGGUGGUUGUGGCCGUCAACUGGUGAAGUUUUCUGGCAAGGUAUCUAUGAGAAAGAAAGAAAUUUGAAAAACAAAGAGAAAGAGAAAAGGAGGCAACAGAGUAAGGAUAAAAUCAAAAGGAUUAAGAAUCGAACUCAUCAAAAAGCAUUAGGAAAAUAUGUCAAGCCUCCUCCUGAAGAUGUGGAAAAUUCAAACACAACAACAACGACAACAGCAACAGCAAGGCUUAUGAGGUAGCACUAGUCUACAGGUAGUCUGUCCAAAGUUAAAUAGUCUAAUUUGGUCAAUAUAUAUAUUUUUUCGAAAUCCCUACCAUUUUUUCAUUUUUGUUCAGAGGGAUGCUAUAGGUUUUUAUUACAGGUAUGAGAGGGUAUUGAGCAUAGAUGCAUCCUUCUGAUAUUGUUGCCAAGCAUGUAUCUUGUUAGUCUUUCUUUUCUACAUUUUUUUUCUUAAUUCUUUUCUGCAUCACAUUUUCUCUCCCAAGCCUUACUCAUCCAUAUAGGAGAAUGAGAAGGAUGGAUUUGUAAGCUAACAGUCACACGCUGAGCGUCAGCAAUUGUAUGUGUUGUAACUUAAGAAAACUCUCUAUACCUUUCUGCUAAGUGAAAUUACGUUGGUUACUCGAGAUGCGGCUUAAAUCUACAGUAAGUCUUGAUUGACACGUUGUAAGUAUCUGAGGAGUUGGCUUAAGUUUUAUUUGAGAAGAUUGGCCGCCUGUGGUUAUUUUUGCUUUCAAAGUUUCUAUUGUUUAGCAGUCAAAUAUUGAACUUAAUUAACAACUGCUACGCUACGCAGAGGCACAAAGAGUGACAGGGCUUCUAUUUUGUCUACAAGUAGUACAAAGGACAACUUUUCACAGCCUUCAUUUUUCCCUAUAAAAAGCAUGUAACUUGUUGCAUUAUUCCAACAAGAACAACAUUGAAAUCCAAUUAGAAAAUGGCAAUCAAGACUUCAUUUUUUCUUCAUUAUGUUCCAAUAUUGUUGAUUUUAGCACUAGUGUCAAGGUCUGAAGCAGGAGGAAUUGCUAUAUACUGGGGACAGAACGGCAAUGAAGGGACACUAGCUGAGACUUGUGCUACAGGGAACUAUGACUUCGUGAACAUUGCAUUUCUUUCAACGUUUGGAAAUGGUAGAAACGCGAUGCUCAAUCUAGCAGGCCAUUGUGAUCCAUACACUCCAAAUGGAUGUGUAAACGUGAGUUCUGAUAUAAAAUCUUGUCAAUCUAAAGGAAUCAAAGUCAUGUUAUCGAUCGGGGGAGGAGCAGGAGCAUACUCAAUUGCCUCCCCUGAUGAUGCUUAUCAAGUUGCUGCAUAUCUCUGGAACAACUUUUUAGGUGGAAAAUCGGCCUCUCGCCCUCUAGGAGACGCGAUUUUGGAUGGAAUCGACUUUGAUCUAGAGAGCGGUGAAGGACCAUAUUGGGGUGAUCUUGCUAAGAAUCUUGCAAGAUAUAAUAGCAACAGAGGAAGCAAGAAAGUGUACUUAACUGCAGCCCCCCAGUGUCCAUUUCCUGAUGCUUGUGUUGGUGGGGCCUUAAAAACAGGAGUUUUUGACUAUGUUUGGGUACAAUUUUAUAACAAUCCACCAUGUCAGUACAAUCAAGAAAAUGUAACUAGUUUUCAAGAUUCAUGGAAACAGUGGAUUUCAUUAAUUCCUGCAAAGAAAAUAUUUCUUGGAUUGCCUGCUGCUCCUGAUGCAGCUGGAAGUGGAUUUAUUCCAGUUGGUGAUUUAACUUCUCAAGUACUUCCAACUAUAAAGGGUUCAGCCAAGUAUGGAGGAGUUAUGUUGUGGUCCAAGUAUUAUGAUGAUCAAACUGGUUAUAGUUCCUCCAUUAAAAGCCAUGUCUAACCUAUUUGUACUCUUCUCAUAAAAUUAGUAUAAUAUCACUUUUUUCUUUUCAAUUCAUGUGAUGCACUUUGACUAGAUAUUAUGUGUUCGACUGAUAAAAAAAAUUUGAAAAAUAUUUUUCAAAAAAACUAAGUAUGUGAAAAUGAGGAAAAUGACUUAUCUACUGAAAUUAGGGAAAACAAGUUUCACAAGUGGUAUUUUAUAUUUGAUCGUAUUCUCCCCAUCCUCCAACGCACCUCAUUUUAACCCGCCCCCCACUCCACACCCCAUAUUGUAUUUGUUUAGAUUAUAUACAAAUGGUUUUAAGAUAAUAAUACUUAUGUUAAAUACAAGAAAAAAAAAUUAUUCUUUUGAAAAACUUGUCGUUUAAAGAUAUUUAUAUGGUUAUCUGUUAAUUAUCUCAUUGAUGAUAAAAUGACAAGUUUAAAAAUAAAUAUUUUAAACAGAUUUUUUUUUUUUUUUAAUACAGACUAAAAGAAAAGAAUUACAUAGAUUGGCAAAGGGAGUAACAUGUAAAAUAAUCUCAUUUUCUUUUCCUACCAGUUUAUUUAUAUAAAAAAAUAAAUUAAAAUGAUAAAAAUCACACCACAAAAAGAAAAAUUAAAAGUUAAAAAGACAGCUGGCAAUGGAAAUAUCUAGAGGCAAAAGGAAACUCUCGAUGAUUCUGGUUACUGUGUAAUUCAAAAACAAACAAAUAACUAAACUGCUGCCAACUCAUCUGACAGCCACGUGUCACUUAACUAGCUGAGCAGAACAUGGGGAUAAUAUGUACCCCGUCGUAUCAAAUAAUCUCUCAACUAGAAAAAUUAAUUACGUGGCAAGAGAGGAUGAAAUAGGGAGACAUGUUAACCAGCGCGCGAAACAUCUCGAAAGACGUAGAACUUGUUAAACUUUGUCAGUAUAAAUAUGAAAAUGGCUAAAGCAAACUGAUCAGAUUGAAAAACAAAAAAAAAGAUUUUCAGAGCAGUUUUACAAAGAGAGAAGCGAAGUUUGAGUACUGAAGAAGCUGGGUUGGUGGAGUGAUUUGUGCUGGAAAUUGAGUUAUUUGGAUUUUGUGGAACCGAUUGGACGGAGCUUUUAUUCUUCCUUAAUUGUAAGUUCAUCUUAUAUUCUUUUAAUAAAGUAUAUGGUUUGUUUUCAGCUUUCCUGUGUAUCCUUGUUCUGAAUUGCUGGUGAAAUUUUCGGUUUUGAUUUAUCUAAUGGAGUUUUGGUUAUUUCUAGGUUAUAAAUAUGGCCAGUAACCCUCUGUUUCAUUCAUGUUAUUUCACUCUGAUUUUGCGGUUUUUAUUAUACCAAGCAUAUCCUUUUAACUUGAGCGCUUCAAUUUUGGGUGUAUCGGUAGACGUUUAAAUAAGUACACACAUGUCCUAUUUGACAUAAUGCAAAUCAAUUAGCAUGUAGGACUAGUGCAUCUCACACGAAUUGUUACAUAGUAUGUGUGUCUUACUCAAUUUUAUAUAAGUUCACACACCUUGGGAUUACACUAGAUGGAUAUGUUGUUGGUGGUAGCAUUAAUUGUUUAAAAAAAGGUGAUAUAGUGUCCAAAGACUGAUUAAACCAUAUAUACUGUCUACUGUCUUAGUAACAGAUGAAGGAAGGAAAAUGUCAAAUAUAAAAUCUGUUUCGAUUUUGGAAUUUAUCUUAGAUUGUCUGACAAGUGGUGAUGGAGAUGCUACUAAUUUUGUGCAGAAAUGCCUGAUUCCUUUGAUUGGUUUUUUUCUGGGUUGAGCAUCUGCUGAAGUUUUUUUUUUUCAUAGGUAAUUCUAUACACACAUAAAAGGGAAGCUUAAUUUGGACCUGCAUUUGAACCAAGCUAUGUAUCCCAUGAAUCCUUACCAACGGAACCAAGUACCUUACAAUCCUCAUUAUUAUCCCCACUUCGAAUCGAAUCCUCAUCAUCAUAUGAACAUUGAUCCAACUAGAUCUACAUUACCUUAUGAAUCUUGGCCUUGUGGUGGUAGCAGCUAUGGGCAUCCUUAUCCACCUCAGUGUCACAGUUGCUGUAUCCAUAACAAUUCUCCGAGCCAGUGUGCAUUUAGCCCUCCGUAUCCUUACCUUCCACCACCUACAUAUCCUGUGAUGUAUCCUACUCAUUAUGUUCCUCCUCCACAUUUUAGUAUGGAGCAGCCCCGAUACGAGUAUGAAAAGAAUAUGGGCAGAGAUCAUCACUGUUGUGGUUGUUCAAAUCAUCAAUGUGGUAGUAAGAAAGGAGGAGGGAGCAGUGUCAAAAUAGAAGAACAUGGCCAGGAUAAGAAAAACGAAAGUAACGAGUCAUUGGUUCCUUUUGGGUUCAAGAAUUGUCCUUAUCCAGUUGUGAGCUUACCACCUGAUGACAUGAAGAAUAGGGAGCACAUGAAGCCUAAUGGAUCCAAUUGUAAAGAGGAGGAGGAGAAUCCGCAAGUUGUGAAGCCGUUUGGCGAUUUCAGGCCCUUCCAGCAACCAAAUGUCUGGAAUUUAUGGCCUUCUCAUUAUGGGAACAGCUCAGAAUCACCAAAGCAAACGGGAGAUUUACCCGGAAAACAACAAGAUGAUGAUUCGAUCAGGAAGCAGUUUCCAUUUCCAAUAAUCUGGAUGCCUUAUAAGCCCGAGGAAGACGGAGAGAGAGUUGGUAAGGAAACUGAGUCUGGCCUCAUUGCUGAGAAGGAGCCAACCUCCCCCUCAAAAUUAACCAAACCAAUGUUACAUGAUUCUGAAGACAAGAGAAGCAGUUCUAAAGAAAAUGAAGUGAUUAGCGGAAGUGAAAUCCGUGGAAAGGGACUGAAUAAAGGGACUGUUGUGAAAAUCAUUCCUGUAAAGCAAGUGGAGCAGAAUGAGAUCUUUGAUGGAAAAAAAGAGGAGGCUUCCGAGAGGCAUGAAAGUGAUGCUAAACAGAAGAAAAUUGCUCAAGAAGGUGGUAAGAAACAGUCCCCUUCUCCUACAAAGUCAUCGAAGUUGCCUCCUGUUUGUUUAAGGGUUGAUCCCCUUCCUAGGAAGAAAAGCAGUAAUGGCAAUUCUAGGUCUCCUAGUCCUCCUUGUGGGAAAGGGAAAUUAGUAGAAUCGCGCAGUGAGAGCUCCAAACCUCCCAUCCAAUCAAAUGAGAAGGAGAAUGUUCAACUAGACAAAUCAUCAACAACAAGCAUGCCAAAAAAAAGCACAGAAGUGGAGCCAAGUAAAGGCAAGACAAAAGUUGUUGAGGUUGCCCAAGGGACAUCUAAAGAAGAUAAACUUCAGGAUCAAUGUACUGUUUUCUCUGAUCUGAAACGCCAGG
rnacentral:lncRNA from 1 species